rnacentral:lncRNA from 1 species
AACACUUACCACAAGUCUCAGGCUAAAGAAGGUGGGACCACUUUCACUGGAGGCUUGGAAGAGCCUCUAGGGCUUCCUGGAGGAGGUGUUUGCCCUAAAUGAAAACUAGCUGUAUCCAGGGUCAGUUGCUGCCUUCAGCCAGAGCAGAAGCAGAGAGACGGGUGGAGGCAGCUACAGAGGUAACAGAUCACCUCAGCUGUCCCCGAUCCUGUCUCUUCUUGGGCCCUGGCCCUGCCCCUGCUCUUCCAGGAAGUCUCUGCUCCAAGGGAAAGCAGAGUACAGAUAUGAAAGGCUCAUAGCAACCACCUCCAGCCUGGUCAAUCAAGGGCAUCUUCCUCCCCAACCCCGCAGUUUGGAAAAGAGUCCACUAGGUGGCGAUAGAACGAUGACAUCCUCAACUCCAUCAUUACUUUAGCAGAUGUUUGCAGGUCAGAGGCUCGGUACAAGGUCGGGAAGGACCAGCAGACGGAGCAGCGAGGCCCCUGUUCUCAAGGAGCUUGUGUUGUAGUUGGAGAGGCAAACUGGAGGGAGACACAGAAAGAGAAAGAAAGUAGAUGAAGCAGGCACCCAGUGCGGUCAUGUUGCCUGACUGGAACUUCGCUUUGGGACCGGACAGGACUGAUUGUAAAAGCCACCAUUCCAGAGACUGGCUAAGCUGAUGAUUGUCCCUCGCCUGACCACUCGGAAUGUAGCUGGAGCCACAACUGCGUGGAGCGCAUAGGAAAGGCAGAAUUCCCAUUCCUCAAAUGCGCUCAAUCAGAAUCUGCCUUUUAACAAGGCAUAUCUCAUACACGCGUGGAAGUCGGGGAACACAGCGCGUUGGGGAUAAAUGACCCCUGUGGGCUAACUCUGGUCACCUGUAGAUUACCGUAGUAAAAGUGGAUCAUGCUCAGAAAAAAAAAAAAUCUAACAACCACUUUGGGAUACAUGAGAAAGAGAUGAUGUUGACAUUUCAGCAGUCACUAUAUAAAGUUUUAUUGGCACUCAUCUGCAUUAUCUGAGGCAGCCUUUGUGCUUGUCACCACAGUGCUGAGGAGUUACAACAGAGACCACAGGCCUGAAAGCUGAAGACAUUUACUAUCCAGCCCUUUGAAGAGGAGGUGGGCUGGCCUCUGCCACAUCAGCUUCAUGCUUCAGGAAGAAGCAAGGUCCUAACAGAAGCAGUGUCUUGUCCAAAGCCCACAAGGAACCCUGAGUUCUGUGGCCAGUCUCAGGAUUAAGUUGCUCUCCAUCUUUUCUGCGUCUGGAGAGAGCAUUGUUGAAAGGUUAGUGGCCCCCAAGAUUUGUAGUGAUGGCCAUAGCCUGUAAUCCCAGCACUCCAGAGGUAACAGCGGGAGGAUUGCCAUGAAUUCAACAGCAGUCAGAUCUAUACAGUGAGUUCCUAUCUGGACAGGACAACAUAGUAAAACCCUGACUCAAAAUGAUGGUGGUGAUGGUGGUGGUGGUGGUGAUAAUGAUGAAACAUUUGUGGGAUAAUCUUAAAUCUUGCUGUGCAUAGUGAUCUCAGCUCUCAUGGGGAUAAUGUAGGAAAAUCGAGAUUUUUGAGACCAGCCUGGGCUAGGGAAAAUAGAACCUGCCUCAGAAAUAAAAUACAUAAAAAGAAAAACACGCCAGACAACAGCUGUACAGACCUGUAAUCAAGUACUUGGUGGGCAGAGGCAGGAGGAUCAUGAGUUCAAGGCCAUCUUUGGCUGCACAGUAAGUUUGAGACCUGUCUAGGUACAUGAGACCCUUUCGUAAAAAAAUAAAAGCCGCCACUACCAUAGCAACAAGAACUCAUUUUAAGUUCUACUUCACAUAAAGCUAAUUUUGAUCACAGAAUAUGAUGUGGGCUUUUCUGCUAACGUGUGUAAUAAGGGAUAUUCAUGCAGGUGGUUAAUGUUAACUGUAGUGGCAUGUUGGGAUAAUGUUAAUUGUGUUAACCAUUUGUUGAACAAACAACUAGCUGUCUAUAGUUACUGUUCUAAUGCUAAUAAGAGACACUAUGACCAAGGCAA